GGGCGAUUGGUGUAGUGGCUAUCACAUUCGCUUUGCAUAGGGCAUGAGGAAGAUAAUGCAUGCGAAAGGUCACGUGUUCGAUCCACGUAUCGUCCA